UAGGGAAUCUUCGGCAAUGGGGGCAACCCUGACCGAGCAACGCCGCGUGAGUGAAGAAGGUUUUCGGAUCGUAAAGCUCUGUUGUAAGUCAAGAACGAGUGUGAGAGUGGAAAGUUCACACUGUGACGGUAGCUUACCAGAAAGGGACGGCUAACUACGUGCCAGCAGCCGCGGUAAUACGUAGGUCCCGAGCGUUGUCCGGAUUUAUUGGGCGUAAAGCGAGCGCAGGCGGUUUGAUAAGUCUGAAGUUAAAGGCUGUGGCUCAACCAUAGUUCGCUUUGGAAACUGUCAAACUUGAGUGCAGAAGGGGAGAGUGGAAUUCCAUGUGGAGUAGCGGUGAAAUGCGUAGAUAUAUGGAGGAACACCGGUGGCGAAAGCGGCUCUCUGGUCUGUAACUGACGCUGAGGCUCGAAAGCGUGGGGAGCGAACAGGAUUAGAUACCCUGGUAGUCCACGCCGUAAACGAUGAGUGCUAGGUGUUGGAUCCUUUCCGGGAUUCAGUGCCGCAGCUAACGCAUUAAGCACUCCGCCUGGGGAGUACGACCGCAAGGUUG
rnacentral:rRNA from 1 species